CAAGGACGUUCGCUUGAGAGAGUGUGUUGCUGUUGAGGCUAUUUGGUCUGAAUACGUGACUAUAGCCAGUUAAGGCCUCUGUAUAAACUUAAGAUUCUGACAGCAGGUGCGGAGAUGUACGCGGCUUCUCUUGCAGUUGCUGAAGACAAGUCUUGUAAAAUCCUUCCUUUUCUGUUUCUUUGGCUUGGUUGUUGUCUUUUGGCUCGACACCCACCAAGAGGCGAACCCAGUUUCAGAUAACAGAGCUCUGCAUGUGACAUCUCCUAUCAUACAGGACUUUUGAUGCACAGGUUACAUUUCUGUGUAGUAAUAUCACCAGGCUUAUGCUGACCACAAAUGCUACUUUUCAAUAAGAAGCUUCUCCUGACUCCAAGCAAGGCCCCUAUCCCUUUCCUUGGAUCAUAUAAGGUUCAUGCUGCCUCACUUAAUUUCACGUCUGUGUGGAUUCCAGGCCAAAUUAGGAAUCUAAGUGCUCCUUCUUACCAUCUCCUCUAAGCCUUCUGAACUAGGUGUCAAGAUCAGAGAGAAUCUCAUAGGAUUCAUUCACUUCUUCGAAUGUGGUUUAAAGGACAAGUGAAUCCUGCAACAGCUGAUCUUUCAGGAAGACUUGUCUUUUUCAAAUGAAGAAAAGUCACAUAAGGACACAGGGAGAAGUCAGCUGUCUGCAAGCCAGGAAGAGCUUCACUAGACACUAACCCUGAUGGCACCUUGAUCUUGAACUUCCAGCCCCCAGAACUGUGAGAAAAUAGUUACCUGUUGUUUAAGCUACCUUAUCUGCAGUAUUUUGUUAUCGCUAAGUUAACUAAAACACCCCUUUGGGGGAACCUAGUGGCUCAAUCAGUUAAGUGUCCAACGCUUGGUUUCAGCUCAGGUCAUGAUCUCAGGAUUGUGAGAUUGAGCCCUGUGUCUGGCUCCAGCCUG